GAUACCGUCACAGCUGUCAACGCGCGCAAAGAGGACGGAAAAAGUGUGUGUGUGGCCACCAGCGUAAACACGCGCGCGGUUCGUUCACCAUUUUCACCAAGCAUAGUACGGACGUGGAACGAGUUUUCGGAGGAGAUUUUUGCGGAUUUGUUGAGGAAAAAAAGAAACCUCGAAGAAGUCCAGCGAGCUGCUCUGCCGUUGUACCGUCAGUUGGGGCGAAACUGUACUUUGGUGAUCCGAAGAGUGCAAGAAGGAGGGAAAGGAAGAGGAAGUGGAGGAGUUGUGAAGGAAAGAGGAAAAGUUAACGUAGGAAAGGAGACCAAUUAAUUUUGUAGCUGCUCGAAGAGCUGCUGAACAAAAAGUUGGGGUUUUAUUUACCGACCACCCGAACA